CCGCCGCUGGCAGCGAUGCGGUUUGUUCUCCCUAAAAUGGCGCCGCUGAAUCUGGACAAGUAUGUGGAGAUAGCGCGGCAGUGCAAGUACCUUCCCUAGAACGACCCGAAGGUUACCUGUUGCUAGAGAAAUACUGAAGAUAAUGACUAAUCUGCCCAGGCUAUCAGAUAGGACUUCAGAGAAGAUAACAUAUUGGAGCUGGGACAUGAAGGAUGUGUAUAGUUUAUUAAGAAAAUAAAAAGAUGCUUCAGGUAGAGCAGACAGCAAAGGCAUGGAUUAAAAGCUCAGAGGUGUCAAGAAGCCUUUUUAGAGGUAAGGAAUGAAAUCACCUAGAAGCUGUGGUGUCCUUAGGCUGUGUGGUAUUACUCUAAUGGAUGGGGUCUGUACUAAGCCAUAGAUUUUUCUUUUGUUUGCUUUUUGAGACAGGGUUUCUCCAUAUAGCUCUGCUGUCCUGGAACUCGCUAUGUUGACCAGGCUGGCCUCAAACCCAGAGAUCUGCCAGCCUCUGUCUACCAAG
rnacentral:lncRNA from 1 species